rnacentral:RNase_P_RNA from 1 species
AGAGAAGCGUGACUUGUUGAUCCAGAUUAUUUUGGGUAGGAAAGUCCGGACACCAUAGGGCAGCAUAGCGGAUAACAUCCGUCACUUGCGAGAGUAGGACAAGUGCAACAGAAAGCAAGUACAGUUCGGCUGUAGUGAAACCAGGUAAACUCUAUGCGGUGCAAUGCUAAGUAUAUCAUCAGUUAAGUUCGGCUCGGGCAUUGAUGAGGGGUAAGCAGCAAAAGUUUUGCAGCAAUGUAAAACGCAGAUAAAUAACAAGUCUCGACAGAAUCCGGCUUACAGCGCUUCUCUUUUU